GAAGGUGUACUGUGAGGUAUGCUGGAGGUAUCAGAAGUGCGAAUGCUGACAUAAGUAACGAUAAAGCGGGUGAAAAGCCCGCUCGCCGGAAGACCAAGGGUUCCUGUCCAACGUUAAUCGGGGCAGGGUGAGUCGACCCCUAAGGCGAGGCCGAAAGGCGUAGGCGAUGGGAAACAGGUUAAUAUUCCUGUACUUGGUGUUACUGCGAAGGGGGGACGGAGAAGGCUAUGUUGGCCGGGCGACGGUUGUCCCGGUUUAAGCGUGUAGGCUGGUUUUCCAGGCAAAUCCGGAAAAUCAAGGCUGAGGCGUGAUGACGAGGCACUACGGUGCUGAAGCAACAAAUGCCCUGCUUCCAGGAAAAGCCUCUAAGCAUCAGGUAACAUCAAAUCGUACCCCAAACCGACACAGGUGGUCAGGUAGAGAAUACCAAGGCGCUUGAGAGAACUCGGGUGAAGGAACUAGGCAAAAUGGUGCCGUAACUUCGGGAGAAGGCACGCUGAUAUGUAGGUGAAGUCCCUCGCGGAUGGAGCUGAAAUCAGUCGAAGAUACCAGCUGGCUGCAACUGUUUAUUAAAAACACAGCACUGUGCAAACACGAAAGUGGACGUAUACGGUGUGACGCCUGCCCGGUGCCGGAAGGUUAAUUGAUGGGGUUAGCCGCAAGGCGAAGCUCUUGAUCGAAGCCCCGGUAAACGGCGGCCGUAACUAUAACGGUCCUAAGGUAGCGAAAUUCCUUGUCGGGUAAGUUCCGACCUGCACGAAUGGCGUAAUGAUGGCCAGGCUGUCUCCACCCGAGACUCAGUGAAAUUGAACUCGCUGUGAAGAUGCAGUGUACCCGCGGCAAGACGGAAAGACCCCGUGAACCUUUACUAUAGCUUGACACUGAACAUUGAGCCUUGAUGUGUAGGAUAGGUGGGAGGCUUUGAAGUGUGGACGCCAGUCUGCAUGGAGCCGACCUUGAAAUACCACCCUUUAAUGUUUGAUGUUCUAACGUUGACCCGUAAUCCGGGUUGCGGACAGUGUCUGGUGGGUAGUUUGACUGGGGCGGUCUCCUCCUAAAGAGUAACGGAGGAGCACGAAGGUUGGCUAAUCCUGGUCGGACAUCAGGAGGUUAGUGCAAUGGCAUAAGCCAGCUUGACUGCGAGCGUGACGGCGCGAGCAGGUGCGAAAGCAGGUCAUAGUGAUCCGGUGGUUCUGAAUGGAAGGGCCAUCGCUCAACGGAUAAAAGGUACUCCGGGGAUAACAGGCUGAUACCGCCCAAGAGUUCAUAUCGACGGCGGUGUUUGGCACCUCGAUGUCGGCUCAUCACAUCCUGGGGCUGAAGUAGGUCCCAAGGGUAUGGCUGUUCGCCAUUUAAAGUGGUACGCGAGCUGGGUUUAGAACGUCGUGAGACAGUUCGGUCCCUAUCUGCCGUGGGCGCUGGAGAACUGAGGGGGGCUGCUCCUAGUACGAGAGGACCGGAGUGGACGCAUCACUGGUGUUCGGGUUGUCAUGCCAAUGGCACUGCCCGGUAGCUAAAUGCGGAAGAGAUAAGUGCUGAAAGCAUCUAAGCACGAAACUUGCCCCGAGAUGAGUUCUCCCUGACUCCUUGAGAGUCCUGAAGGAACGUUGAAGACGACGACGUUGAUAGGCCGGGUGUGUAAGCGCAGCGAUGCGUUGAGCUAACCGGUACUAAUGAACCGUGAGGCUUAACCUU
rnacentral:rRNA from 1 species